GGCCCGCACAAGCGGUGGAGCAUGUGGUUUAAUUCGAUGCAACGCGAAGAACCUUACCUACUCUUGACAUCCAGAGAACUUGGCAGAGAUGCUUUGGUGCCUUCGGGAACUCUGAGACAGGUGCUGCAUGGCUGUCGUCAGCUCGUGUUGUGAAAUGUUGGGUUAAGUCCCGCAACGAGCGCAACCCUUAUCCUUUGUUGCCAGCGAUUCGGUCGGGAACUCAAAGGAGACUGCCGGUGAUAAACCGGAGGAAGGUGGGGAUGACGUCAAGUCAUCAUGGCCCUUACGAGUAGGGCUACACACGUGCUACAAUGGCGUAUACAAAGAGAAGCGACCUCGCGAGAGCAAGCGGAACUCAUAAAGUACGUCGUAGUCCGGAUUGGAGUCUGCAACUCGACUCCAUGAAGUCGGAAUCGCUAGUAAUCGUAGAUCAGAAUGCUACGGUGAAUACGUUCCCGGGCCUUGUACACACCGCCCGUCACACCAUGGGAGUGGGUUGCAAAAGAAGUAGGUAGCUUAACCUUCGGGAGGGCUCUUACCACUUUGUGAUUCAUGA
rnacentral:rRNA from 1 species